GCCAGGCGUGGUGGUGCACGCCUGUAAUCCCAGCUACUCGGGAGGCUGAGACAGAAGAAUUGCUUGAACCCGGGAGAUGGAGGUUGCAGUGAGCUGAGAUUGCACACCACUGCACUCCUGCCUGGGUAACAGAGCAAGACUCUGUCUCAA
ensembl:misc_RNA Metazoa_SRP Metazoan signal recognition particle RNA